UACAGAGGUCCCAAGCGUUGUUCGGAUUCACUGGGCGUAAAGGGUGCGUCGGCGGUUUGAGAAGUCUGAUGUGAAAUCCCGCAGCUUAACUGCGGAACUGCAUUGGAAACGAUUUGACUAGAGGAAUGGAGGGGAGACUGGAAUACUUGGUGUAGCAGUGAGAUGCGUAGAUAUCAAGUGGAACACCAGUGGCGAAGGCGAGUCUCUGGACAUUUCCUGACGCUGAGGCACGAAAGCCAGGGGAGCAAACGGG
rnacentral:rRNA from 1 species